GCUAUGGCUCAGUGGUAGAGCAUUUGCCUAGUAUGCACGAGGUCCUAGGUUCAGUCCCCAGUAUAGCA
rnacentral:tRNA from 1 species